rnacentral:lncRNA from 1 species
UGCAAUCGAUCCUGAAAACCCCCAUUGAAGAAACAUAGAGUUUUGAUAGCUGACAAUGCCUUCUGCAAUUGAAGAAGUAGCAGCUGCAACUGUUACAAUAAAGACACUUUAAGUAAUUGAAUCAAAGAGGAAUCAUCCUCUUUACCUCCAUCCAUCGGACACUCCAGGCUGUGCUUUAACCUCGGGUCAACUCACUAGAGCAGAGAAUUAUGCAUUAUGGAGUAGAUACAUGUUAAUCACUCUUAGGGCAAAUAGUAAGAUCGGUUUUGUACUCGGAACAUGCAGAAAAAAAGAUUAUGCACCGAAAUUGGAGGAGCAAUGGGAGAAAUGCAAUGCAUUUCUGCUCGCCUGGAUUAUGAACAGAGUCUCAAAAAAAUUAUUGAGUGGAAUUGUUUAUGUUUCAGAUGCUGUAAUGGUAUGGGCAGAUCUGAAGGAGCAAUUUAAUAAAGUUGAUGGUUCAAGGACAUAUCAGCUUCACAGGGAAAUUUGCACGAUAAAUCAAGGUAACAUGUCUGUUCCAGCUUAUUUUUCGAAGUUAUGAUUGCUUUAGGAUGAAUUUGAUGCUCUUGUACCCCCUCCAGCAUGUAAUUGCGAAAGAUCUAGAAUGUAUAUGGAUCAUGUACAUUAUCUUUGAUUGUUUUCUUUUCUAAUGGGAUUGAAUGAGACGUAUGGGCAUGCACGUAGUCAAAUCUUAAUGUUGAGUCCAUUAGCAAGUGUAAGCAAGGUGUAUGCAAUCAUAAUGUCAGAUGAGAGUCAGAGAAUUACCUCGACGAUGCGUACUAGAGAAGAUAUGGUGGAUAACACAACACUGCUUGCAGGGAGAGGAACCUAUAAUUGAACUGAUGGUGAUAGGUCUGAAUCAUCCAUGAACACCGGUAGAGGAUACUAUAAUGCUAAGAAGAAGGUGAAUCAGAAUCUAUUUUGUGAUCAUUGUAAGAUGCAUCGCCACGCUCAAAAGGUGUGUUUCAAACUGGUUUGAUAUCUAGAAGACUGGAAGUUUAAAAGGAAGCCAGCAGGGUAACAUAAUGAGCAAAACUUCACAAACUCGACUAGAGGUAUCAAUGUAACUAGAGGAAGAGGCAUUGCAAAUAAUGUACAGGUUUCUAGAGAAGAUGAGACUGCAGAUGUGUUUGGACUAGUUGAGAUAGGACAGAAGUCUACACAUGAUCCUUAUGACCUUAAUUCCAUUCGAACUAACCUACAGACACUUGCUGCACAACCAAACUUUACUUCAAAGCAAUAUCAGAAGAUAGUACAACUUCUAAAUAAAGAGGAGAAGGCUGCUGAGAUGGUCAACAUGGUAGGGAAUUCCUAUGGUAAAAUUCUUUCAGCAUCCACUAGAGGGAAGGAUUAUGUGGCUAUCAUGAAUGAUAGGAAUGACACACUAAAUAGUGGAAUAAUUGGAUAGUUGACUCUGUGGAAACAUGCCACAUGACUUCUCACCUUGAUAAAUUGGAUCAUAUCAAUUCAUCUGACAGAAACAUAGGUAAGAAAGUAUAUCUUCCUAAUGGGCAAACUACUUUAGUUACUCAUUCAGGUAGUUGUGUGAUACCAGCAGCAGGGGUAUUAGAAAAUGUUUUGGUGGUACAUGAUUUCAAAUACGACUUACUUUUAAUGGCUUAGCUGACUAGACAACUCAAAUGUUCUAUCCAUUUUGAUCCUGAAUUUUGUGUUUUUCAGGACCUCUUCAAUGGAGAAGUGAAGGGAAUUGGUAAGGAGGUAUAUGGGUUGUACUACUUUUCCAGUUAAUUCUCUUCUUCAAACACAACUGCUGAUGAUGAAAAGGUGGUGUUAAUGACAAAGAUAUGUGAAUCACAAUGCAUAGUAUGGCAUAAUAGAAUGGGUCAUCCAUCUAUAAGAACUUUAAGACAAUUGUCCUUAGUUAAGAAAGAGUCAUAUGUUAAAUUGUGUGAAAAUUGUCCGGUGUGUCCUUUUGCAAAACAAACAAGGCUUCCAUUUCCUGUAAAUGUGUCGAGAAUAGGUGAUAUCUUUGAUCUUAUUCAUCUUAAUGUAUGGGAACCAUAUAGAUUUUCUACACAUAAUGGUUUUAGAAUUUUUUUUCUCACCAUUGUGGAUGACAAUUCAAGAAUGACUUGGUUGUUUCUAAUAAAAUACAAAAGUGAUGUAUUUGGUGUUCUGAAAUCCUUCUUUUCAUUGGUUCAAAUCAAUUUGAUAAAUAAGUAAGAAGAAUUAGACCUGACAAUGAAACUGAGGUUUUUAAUAGAGAUUGCAAUUCAUUAUUCUCUUAUUUGGGUAUAAUACAGGAGAGCAGUUGUCCUCAUGCCCCUCAACAAAAUAGGGUGGCAGAGAGGAAACAUAGACACAUACUUGAGGUAGCAAGAGCUUUCAGGUUUCAGGGAUCCAUUCCUAUUAGAUUUUGGGGAGAAUGUGCAGAAACAGUUGUAUACUUGAUCAACAUAAUGCCUACUGAGGUGUUACAAGGCCAAUCACCUUACGAAAUCUUUCAUAAGGUUAAAUCAUCCCUUGAUCAUUUGAGAACCAUGGGUUGUUUAUGUUAUGCCACCAAAGUUGUGAAGGUUGAUAAGUUUUCCUCUAGAGCAGAUGCCUGUGUCAUGAUAGGGUAUUCACCAACUCAAAAGGGGGUACUUGUUGUAUAAUCUGAGCCUUCAAAAAAUUUAUAAUAAACAGGGAUGUUGUCUUCAAGGAGCAUGUAUUUCCAUUCAGCAAAAUGAAAGAUAAAUACUUGCCAAAUUUUGUUCAACAGAUAGAUAAACUUGGAUAUGAAGAGCUUCAGAAAAGAGUUAUUACUGAUAAUGAAGUUCCCACAAACGAUGCACUUGAUCAUCAGAAUAUUAUGAAUGACCUGAACCAAGAUGUUGAGAAUGAUUCCUUGGUGAAUCAAGAUGUUGUCAAUGAUCCAAUUGUUAUUAAUGAUUCCUUGGUGAGUCAAGAUAUUGUACAUGAAGUCAGGCCUAGAACCUCCUCAAGAGUAUCUCAUCCACCUGUUUGGAUGAAAGAAUAUGUGACUAUUAUGACAGCCUCCAUGCACCCUCAUUCCUUAGCCAACUAUGCAUCCUAACAAUCACUUAUCUCCCACAUACCAAGCAUAUUUGAGUGGAAUAUCCACUGACACAGAACCAAGUAGUUAUGAAGAAGCAAUCAAAGACCCCAGAUGGGUAGAAGCCAUGAAGCACGAAAUUAGUUCAUUGGAAGACAAUGGUACAUGGAGAGUAAUGAAGUUUCCUCCCAGAAAGAAUGACAUAGGGUGUAAAUGAGUUUUUAAGAUCAAGUAUAAGGCAAAUGGUGAAAUUGAUAGAUAUAAAGCCAGACUUGUAGCAAAAGGCUAUAGCCAGACUGACGGAAUUGAUUAUCAGGAGACUUUAUCACCAGUGGUAAAAAUGGUGACGGUUAGGACCAUUAUUGUUGUUGCAGCAGCAGAGAACUAGAUGAUUUAUCAAAUGGAUGUUUUUAAUGUAUUCUUGCAAGGAGAUUUGGUUGAAGAAGUGUACAUGGAUUUGCCUAAGGGAUUCAAUAAAAGGGAAUGUAGGCUUUUUAAGUCAUUAUAUGGACUUAAGCAGGCUUUAAGACAAUGGAAUGCAAAGUUGACUGAUGCAUUGUCUAAAUCAGGCUACAUUCAGAGUCAUCUGGAUUAUUCCUUGUUUACAAAAAGGAAAGGCACAUCAUUGGUGAUUGUACUUGUAUAUGUAGAUGAUUUGUUAAUCACAGGGAAUGACUCCACAUUGAUACAAGAAACCAAAUAGGUUCUGCACAAACAUUUCAAAAUCAAAGAUUUAGAUGAGCUGAGAAAUUUUCUGGGAAUAGAAUUUUGCAGAUCAGAGAAGGGAAUUGUUAUGAACCAAAGGAAAUAUGCUUUAGAGUUGGUGUCUGAAGCUGUUCUAGCAGGGGGAGACCUUCAUCUAUACCUUUGGAAUGUAUCAUGAAACUUACUAGUGCAGAGUUUUUUGAUUCUGAUGCAUUAUUCACUGAUAUAGCUAAAUAUCAAAGGUUGAUUGGGAAGUUGCUCUAUCUUACUAACACCAGACCUAACAUAGGUUUUUCAGUUCAGUGUCUGAGUCAAUUUAUGCAGAAGCCUACUAUGUCUCACUAGAAUACAACUCUGAAAGUAGUGAGAUAUAUCAAGGCUGCACCAGGUCUAGGACUACUUAUGAGUGCCGAGAAACAAACAAACCUUACUAGCUUUUGUGAUGCAGAUUGGGCUGCACGCCCCAACACAAGAAGGUCAGUGACUGGAUUUUUACUGAAGCUUUGAUAUCUUGGAAAUCAAAGAAGCAGAACACAGUUUUCAGGAGUUCUGCAGAAGCAGAAUAUAGAAGUUUGGUUACAUUGACUGCUGAGGUGGUUUGACUGACUAAAUUGUUUAAUGAAUUGGGGCUGAGCUUAGAUAAACUUGUCACCAUUCAUUGUUAUAGCAAAGACAGAUUUACAGAUAGCAGCAAAUCCCGUGUUUCAUGAGAGGACGAAGCACAUAGAAAUUGAUUGCCACUUUAUCUGGGAAAUGAUGCAACAGGGCUUGAUAAGAACAAGUUAUAUCAGCACCAAGGAUCAACAGGCUGAUUUGUUGACAAAGGCACUUGGGAGAACUCAAUAUGAUUUUCUACUUUCCAAGCUAGGUGUUUUGAAUAUCUUCAGUAGACCUAGCUUGAGGGGGAGUAUUGAAGAUGAAGGUUCAAGUAGUUAGUUAGGUUCACAAAGUUAGUUAAGGGUUAAUUAAUUGUACUUGUCAUCAUUAUAGUCGGUUAAGUUUGUUACACAAUUCUAGAAGAUUAGAAGUAGUUAGCAAGUAGUUAGUAACUAGUACAAUUGUAUAUAUAGGAGCUCUUUCUUUCUGUAAUCACAGUUUUAGUAUGCAAUACAAAAUUUCUCAAUUCUCUCUUCUCUCUUCCUAAAUUCAUCAUAUAUAUAUAUAUAUAUAUAUAUAUAUUCUAUUAUUAAAGUUACCUAAGUUUCAUAAGUGGUCCCUAAAUUAUAUUUCCUUAAAUCAAAACCAGACAAUUUAUUUUUAGCACAUAAAAAUCAUUAGACACUGACCAUUGUAUUCAAAAAUCACAAUGCUAAAAAAUUUUAAACUUGUGUAUUGUUAAGGGGAAUUUCAAUCUAUCUUAAUGAUGCUAAGGGAAUUGAAAAGCUUCUUUAAUGUAUCUAGGUUGGACACAAAUACAGUAAAAUCAAAUAUCUAUGGAGCGAAUAUGACAAGCCAAUGUGUAAAUAAUAUUUGUGAGUUGACUUGGUACCAAAAAGAGGCCUUACCUUUCAGAUAGAUAUCUCUCAAGAUAGAUAUACAUAAAUAUACAUAAUUUUUUCCGAAGUUAACGGAUGCACGUGUACACAAUCUAGAAGGGUGGGUCUGCCUCUAGCGAUGGGUGGAUCAUGUCUACGUGACACCCCAGAAAUUUUUUCGAACUAAGACUUGAACCAUCCUUCGUUGUGAGUAGGAUUUUUACCGAGCACGUCUCCGUCGACGUGCCUCUUUCAACGUGUUUUUUAAAAAUAAAAUUUAAAAAAUUAUUUCUUUUGUUCUUCUUUAAUUUAAUUAGUUUAUAAUUUUUUUUGAAAUAGAAUCCGUUUUAGCUAUAACUUUUAGUUUUAAAUUCAAAACUUAACGCUGAAGCGGGAAAAAAAGUAACUAACAACUUAAAUCAUGUUAAAAUUUAAUCAACUUGCUAAAUUCUACCUUUCUCUUAUUAUAUAAGAGACCGUUUGUGUUGAAGCAGACACGUCUCCGUCGACGUGCCUGCUUCAUCGUAUUUUUUUUUAAAAAAAAACUUAAAAUUUAUUUCUUUUUCUCUACUUUAAUUUAAUUAUUGUAUAAUUUUUUCGAAAUUAUGAAAUCAUUUUUAGCUAUGACUUUUAGUUUUAAAUUCAAGACUUCACGUUGAAGCAGGAUAAAAAGCAAUUAACUUAAAUCAUAUUAAAAUUUAUUCUACUUUCUAUAUUCUACCUAUGUCACAUAAAUUAAAUUAAAAAUAAAACUAAAAUAUUAGGCCCGUGCUAGCACGGGCACCUAUUUCUAGUAUAUAUAUAUAUAUAUAUAUAUAUAUAUAUAUGCGCAAGGACAAAGCCAUAAGUGUGUGAGGGCAUUUUUAUAUUAAUUUUAAUACGAUAUGUGGGACCUACAACGUGCUUUUCCUCAACCAUUUUUUUCUCGUUCCUGCUUUUCUCUUUCAUGUUUUGUUUCAUUUUCUAUCUUUUUAGUGGAGUAUCUAUUUUGAAACCAAUUUCAUUAUUACCUAAUUUUUAUUUUUGCUUAUCAUAAAAAUAAAAUUUUCUUUUGUCUUAUAUAUUUUAUUAAAUAAAAAAUAUAUUGUUUUUUUAAUAUUAUUGUAUCACUAAAUAAAUGCAUAAGAUAUUAAUAGUCAAACUUAAUAUUUUAAAACAUAAUUAAUAAAACAAAUUUAAUAAAAUAAACCUCUAACAAAAUACAAGUGAAUCUAUAUAUAAAAAGAAUUGUGAAAUACAUAUUAUUAAAUUAUAUAUUAAAUAUUUAAAUAUUAUUGGCAUAUAGAAAAUAUGAGUGUUACAACUAUAUUGUUGUUGUUGUUGUUAAUAAAAUAAACCUCUAACAAAAUACAGGUGAAUCUAUAUAUAAAAAGAAUUGUGAAAUACAUAUUAUUAAAUUAUAUAUUAAAUAUUUAAAUAUUAUUGGCAUAUAGAAAAUAUGAUUGUUGUUGUUGUUGUUAUUAUUAGGUAUUUGUCCAUAAAUUCUAAAUAUAUUUUUUGGUUGCAAUUGUUGGCAUUGAAGAUGAAGUUGUGUUGGUUAUAUAGUUUGUAAAGAAUAUUUAAAAUGAUGUUUUUUUAAUGUACUUAGGUAAAUUGUUAAAAGUAAAAAAUAGUCUAGAAAUAGAUUAUUAGAUGUUCAAGUUUUUUAAUAUAACUUCAAAUUGAAAAUAAAUUAUAUUUCAAAUUUUGAUGGCCAAACGUUGAUUUUAAAAUAAAUUGAAAUAUUAUUACGAAAAAAAUAAAUAUUUUUAUGUUCGAAUGGAUCCUAAAACUAGAAGUUGAAAAAUAUAUGAAACAUAAAGAUGAUUUUUUAAAGAAUGAUAAAUGAAAAAUAAAAGAAAAAGAAACAAAAAGAAUUUUAAUAGACAAUUUUCAAAAUAUAAAUAACCAUUCAAAUAAUUAAUUUCAAUUUUUUACGCUCACAACCUCUAAUUAUCUACAACAUGGGCUUGACACAUUUUAUAUAAAAUUAUCCAGCUCUAACUUAUAUAUUAAUCACAAAAAAUCCAUUGGAAAUUCACUAAUCGAAAAAGAACAACGGAUAAACUAAUCAGAUCGUCUAACUAAUUUGACACAGGUCUUCAGGAAGUUGAGAAUUUGGAUAGAGCAUUAGUAAUUCACAAGGACUAUCAAGGCUUACAUGGAGACAGCUUGGGAGGGCAGGAUGCUGUGGUGUUAGAUACGGUGGAGUUUGAGAAAGAGCCUCAUCUGCAUUUAGAAGAUGUUGAUAACAGAUACAGGUCAGACAAUAGUGAGGAGCUCCUUACUGGUUGCUCACCUGUCAAUCAAGAACAUAUGCACAAUGUUAGUAUGAUUAGUGCUGCUCAAAAUGCAAUAAUCAAGUUUUCAGGGGUAAUCAAACAAAGUUCUCCUAUCAAAGAACUUCAUGAUUUGGUUUCUCAUAAAAUUGUAGAUAAAGACAACACUUCAGUAGAGGUAACAAAUCAACAGCAAAAUGAUCUAGUAAUAAACAAGGAUGAAAAUGAAAACUACAGUGAUCAUGCACAGGUUGUAAAUAAUGCAGGAGGUUCCCCUCAAGGGAAAUCAAAGAAGAAGAAGACUAAAUCUCAAGGGGAUAAGCCUAUUAGGAUUAACCCUAUGAGGUCUGGUAGAGCUAUGUCAAAAUGAUCUUUAAAGCAUUAAUAUGGAAUAUUAGAUCAAUUAGAUCUAAACAUUCUUUCCAUAGAGUGCAAAUGCUUCAUAGACAUCACAAAUUUGAUUUGGUUGCCUUGAUGGAACCUUUUCAAGAGACUAGGCAGAUCCAACAGUAUAAAAGGAGACUAGGCAUGGCCUAUGCAAAUUAUAAUAUCAAUGGGAAGAUUUGGUUGUUUGUAAAGGAGGACAUUCAGGUGGAGGUUGUUUCAGAUUCUGAACAACAGUUGACUAUUAAGAUGUUAUUCCGUAGUGGAUAUCAGAUUGUUAGUACUCUUGUCUAUGCUAAGUGUACAACUGUUGAAAGAAUUCAAUUGUGGGAAGAUUUGUAUGUCAUUGGGCAAAAUAUGUAUUUCCCCUGGUGUGUUGGAGGGGAUUUUAAUAUUAUUAUGGAUGCCGAAGAAAAGAUAGGUGGUCUACCUGUCUAUCCUACUGAGGUGGAUGAUUUUGCAUUUUGUGUCAAUUCCUGUGAAUUAUUUGACAUUAAAUUCAAAGAUAGCCCUUUCACUUGGUGGAAUGGGAGGACGGAUGGUGAUUGUAUUUUUAAAAGAUUAGACAGGGUUGUAGGGAAUCAAGCAUUUUUGGAAGGGUUGGGUCAUGUGGAGUUAGAACAUCUAGCUAGGACAGGGUCAGAUCAUGCUCCUAUGUUGCUAUCUUGUGGAGUUAAAACUAUCCAGUUCCUCAAACCUUUUAGAUUCCUCAACUUUUGGUCUGAAAAGGAAGGGUUCAAAGACCUGAUUAGGCAAAAUUGGGUUGAUGAUCAUUCUGAUGAUGUGUUUGUUAAUUUAAAGCUCAAGAUGAAGAAGACUAAACUAGCUCUUUCUAAGUGGAGUAGAGAAAGUUUUGGGGAUAUUUUCAAACAAUUAGUUAUAAGGGAGGAUAUUCUGAAAAUCAAAGAAAAAUUGUUUGAGGAUGUUCCUUCUGAUGCUAAUAGAAUUAUCCUCAAUAGAGCUCAAGAAGAAUAUACAAAAUACUUGAAGUUUGAAGAGGAUUUCUGGACACAAAAGGCUGGGAUGCAAUGGUUCAUUGAAGGAGAUAGGAGCACUAAAUUCUUCCACAAUAUUGUAAGAGGAAGAAGAAGAUUAGAAAUAUCCAAAAUGCAUAAAGCUGAUGGUACAUGGGCUGAAGGAAGUGAAGUUGAGGGAGAGGCUGUAAAAUUCUUUCAAGAUCAAUUUUCCAGUGAUUUGCAGGAGUCUAGUCUACCCCUUGUGGAUUUAAUUCCCUCUUUGAUUAAGGAGGAAGAUAAUGCAAUGCUUAAUAGGAUUCCCUCUUCUGAGGAGGUUAGAAAGGUGGUCUUUGAACUUAAUGGAAAUAGUACAAGUGGACCUGAUGGUCUGACUGGACACUUCUAUCAAGUUUGCUGGGAUAUAGUAGGAGAUGAUGUUGUGAAGGUGGUACUUGCUUUUUUUGAUGGGAUGACUCUCCCUAAAUUCAUCACCCAUACCCACCUUGUGUUGAUUCCUAAGAAGGAGAAAGUGAUUUCAUUUGUUGAUCUAAGGCCUAUUAGUCUGAGAAACUUGAUUAAUAAUGUUAUUUCCAGAGUUGUUCAUGAUAGACUGGAAGUAUUCUUACCUACUCUUAUUUCUGCUAAUCAAUGUGGUUUUGUUAAAGGAAGAAGUAUUACAGAAAAUGUCCUACUUGCUCAGGAGAUUAUUGUGGAUAUCAGGAAGAAGAGUAAAACUACUAAUGUGGUGUUUAAACUUGACAUGGCUAAAGCAUAUGACAGGGUAGAUUAGAGCUUUUUGAUUAAAGUAUUGGAAAAAAUGGGCUUUAACACAGUAUUUAUUGAUAAAAUAUAGAGGCUGGUGGCCAACAAUUGGUAUUCUGUGUUGGUUAAUGGCCAAGCUUGUGGAUUUUUUCACUCAACUAGGGGUGUUAAACAAGGAGAUCCUUUAUCUCCUUCUUUAUUCAUUCUAACAGCUGAAGUCCUUACUAGGGCCCUUAAUAAUUUGUUCAGCUAUGCAGGGUAUCAAGGGUUUGGUCUUCCAAAGUGGAGUGAACAGAUUAAUCAUCUUGCCUAUGCUGAUGACACUAUCAUUUUUGCUAAGGCAGACAAAUUUUCUUUGAACUUGAUUAUGAGGACUUUACAAGAUUAUGAAUCCCAAUCUGGUAAAAAAUUCAAUAAAGAAAAGAGUGCAUAUUUUGUUUAUCACAAGGCAGCACAAAGUGACAUCCAGAUGAUAGAAGAGUGUAAUGGUUUUACCAAAGGUAAGUUCCCUCUAACUUAUCUUGGGUGCCCAAUUGGGCAUGGCAGGAAAAGGAAAACUCAAUUCUCUGAACUCAUUAAAAAGGUUCAAAACAAAAUUCAAGCUUGGAAAGGGAAGCUUCUGUCGUUUGAGGGUAAGUCUGUAUUGAUCACUAAUGUAUUACAGAGUGUUCCUAUAUAUCAGUCGUCUGCUAUCAUUCCUCCCAAAUGUGUCAUUCAUGAUCUUCAUAGAAUCUUUGCAAGAUUUCUAUGGAAUUUUAAGGAAGUAGGAAGAAAUAAACACUGGGUUUCCUGGAACAAUGUAUGCUUACCCAAAAAAGAAGGUGGUCUAGGAUUUAGAUCCUUAUUUGAUGUUUCAAGAGCUUUAUUUGCUAAACUAUGGUGGAAUUUUAGAACAAAAAAUACUAUGUGGUCCCAGUUUAUGUGGAAUAAAUACUGUAAAAGGCACAGACCACAAACAGUAGAGUGGAGAGGGGGUUCUCAAACCUGGAAAUAUAUGCUAGCUGCUAGAGAUUUUUUUGAUCAGGAAAUAUGGUGGCAACCAAAUGGUGGGCAUUCUAGUAUCAUGUUUGACAAUUGGACACAAUUAGGGGAUCUAUAUUACUACCUACCAGUGUCUAAUAAUAAUGAAUGGAUGCAUAGAGAUGUUGAUCAAUUAUUUCAUGAAGGGAGGUGGAAUGAAGAGCUCUUAAGGACCGUAUUCCCUGAGAAUGUUGUAAAUCAUAUUCUCAAUGAUAUUGAGAGAUUUCAGGAUUCAGAGGAAAGAGAUAUUCCUAGGUGGAUGUUAAACAACUCAGGGAAAUUCUCAAUGAAGUCUGCAUGGGACAAUAUCAGAAUCCCUGGAAUUGAGGAUGAUAGUUUUGCUAGGAUGUGAGAGAAGGGUGUACCUUUUAAAGUAUCUUUCUUUUUCUGGAGAUUAGCAAUGAAAAGGAUCCCUAUUGGUGAAGUCCUAGCCAGAUUUGAAACUGAGGAGGAGAUGGUGUGUUGCUGUUGUGAUCAGAUGGCUAAUGAAAGUUUUCAACACCUCUUUGUCUCCUGCCUUGCUGCUAAUCAAAUGUGGAGUAGUUUUACUAGAGCUGCUGGUGUAGAAGGUCCUUUUCUUCAGAUAAAGGACACAGUGUAUAAGUGGUGGAAUGCAACUUGUUCAGCUAAUCUUAGACCUCUAUUCAAUGCUAUACCUGGUCUAAUACUCUGGCAAAUUUGGAAAAAGAAGAAUAGAAUAAGACAUGGUGACAAAAUGAAUGUGCAAGGAAUGAUAAAUGGAAGUAAACAAGAACCUGCACAUGUUAGCUGUUUUUAGAUACCCUUGGCUGAGGAAUAUCCCUGAGGAUUGGCCAAAUUUGGUGCAUUUCUUUGAAGGAUAUAAACCAAUCUUAGUUCCUAAGGUCAUUCAUUGGAAACCUCCUAUGGAGGGGACCUAUAAAUGUAACUCAGAUGGAGUUUCUAAAGGAAAUCUUGGACAAAGUGCUGGUGGGUUUUGCAUCAGGGAUUGGAAAGGUGAAUUUAUAUUUGCUGCAACCUAUGAUCUUGGCAAAAGAACAGGUUUGCAGGCUGAAACUAGUGCCAUGGAGAAAGGUUUAAAUUAUUGUGUUACACAUAAUUUACUUCCUGUGUGUUUAGAGACGGAUUCACUGGUUUUGACCAAGAUUUUAAAUGGGGUAUUGGAGGUCCCUUGGAGCAUUAAAAUUCAGAUUCAGAAGAUUGAAUUUUUGAGAAACAAUAGGGAGGUUGCAGUGCUACAUACGCUCAGGGAAGGCAACAAAGUGGCAGACUACUUCACUAACUUUAUUUUUUCUUUUGCAGGUACAUAAAAUAAAACUUUCCAAUCAAUUCAAGAUGUACCAAAGGAAGGAAAAUCCUUAGUACUCAUGGAUGCAAAUCAGAUUCCAAACAUUUGAAUUACUAAAAUGCAAAAUAAACUCUAUGGUUUGUAGUUUCGAACUAUAAUCUUUGCACAAAAUGAAAUGCAAUUGCAGUAUAAGUCAAGCAGAGGAGAGAAAGGAAAUACCUAACAAAUAUACAUAGACUUUAGAUCCUAGCUUCUUAGACAGUGGUAUCAGUUCCCUCGGAGCUCAAUCUGUCAAGAGGCGAAGAUCUAAGGAAAAUGGUUUUCUACAAGGCACUGAUAUCUGGAGAAAGCUCCAAAGAAGAUAGAUCUGUACAGCAAUGUAAGGGCAAUGAAUAACAAUGUGAUAUUGAGAUUCUUGUUGAAUAAUCGAUAGGGAUGUGGGGGUUACCUCUCACACAGGAAAGGGACCAAUGUUUUGAGCUGAAGAAGUCUUCAACGGACAAGAAUACAUGGCGUUAGUGAGAUUUUUAACGUCUUGAUGUACUCUAUCCAAGCUCGAUGAUAUGAGUCUCUAGUUCCACAGUGAGUAAGGUCUAACUCCUAUCUCAUCAUUUGCACAAGGAUCUUUGAUGUAGGUCCACCAUAGCUGCCGGAGUCGAGAAGAGGUUGACGGAGGUCCACCAUUGAUGACGGAAGAUUUAGAGACAGUGGUGUCUUGACUAUAGGAGGGUUUUGUCUUUCCCCUUUUUAUUUGUUUUUUGUUUCCAUUUCUUGUUUCAGAUUUUGGAUUAGGCGUUUUGGGAC